ACUCCUACGGGAGGCAGCAGUGGGGAAUAUUGCACAAUGGGCGCAAGCCUGAUGCAGCAACGCCGUGUGAGUGAAGAAGGUUUUCGGAUCGUAAAACUCUGUCCUAAGGGAAGAAACAAAUGACGGUACCUUAGGAGGAAGCCCCGGCUAACUACGUGCCAGCAGCCGCGGUAAUACGUAGGGGGCAAGCGUUAUCCGGAAUCACUGGGCGUAAAGGGUGCGUAGGCGGCUUAGCAAGCCAGGGGUGAAAGGCAUUGGCUCAACCAAUGUAAGCCUUUGGAACUGUUAGGCUUGAGUGCAGGAGAGGUAAGUGGAAUUCCUAGUGUAGAGGUGAAAUUCGUAGAUAUUAGGAGGAACACCAGUGGCGAAGGCGACUUACUGGACUGUAACUGACGCUGAUGCACGAAAGCGUGGGUAGCGAACAGGAUUAGAUACCCUGUAGCACAGAG
rnacentral:rRNA from 1 species